ACACUCUGUCCUCUCAUUCUGGAUUUGGCUUCUAAACCAGCUCCAGGAAACGAGGAAGUUCUUGGCUCAGCAAGGUGAGGCUUUCCGCUCAGCAGCCUGGCCUGAGCUGCUUUUAGGAGGUUUGCUCAAACCAGCGGUGUGGUUACCAGGAGCUCCAGAACUGUCAAGCAGUUAAUGAGUCAUAAAGCCGGCUUUCCUGGGACUGGUGCGUCCCCGUAAGGUCUUCUGAGGUCUGAGUGAUUUGAUACUCCUUGUGUAACGGGGACAUUUGUACACGUGCCAAUGACCCGUGUGAUCUUGUUUGUGCUUUACAGGGGCUGUGCAAGCGGGAGCUCUGUCCUGCAGCUGCCCGUGGGUUUCUCAUGGCACCUGCAGGAGCUCUGAGGAUGCUGGUCAAGUGAAACGUGAUGGUGCUGGCCAACAAAUUCAACGUGUGGUCAUAUUUGCUCCCCUGGUCAAAACAAACCAUUGACCUGAAAACCUUUCCCUCUUCUGCUCCUGCCACACAUGGGCUGCUGUGAUGUUUGCAAGGCUGCAGAAAACGAGCACAGAGACUUGUCUGCAGCCGGUCUCCUGGAGCUCUCCUGCACGUCGCAGUGUUAGAAGUGCCUCAGUGCCCCAGUUCGCUCCCAGCAAGAGGCUGGGCUGAAGGGGUGGUUUUUCCUCUGCAUUUUUUCCUCUCCAUUUUUUUCCUGUGGAUUUGUGCCUAGUCUUUGAGAAGAUUUUGUGCACAACAUGCCAGUGUGUGUGACUUGUCCAAGUGCUGCUAGGACAGGCAUGGCUGAAGGUCCCAUCCCAUCCCAACUUGCGUUUACAUUUGAAACUAAUUUUGUGCGUUUCCACAGAACUUGCAACCGACUUGAAUGCUUCAAGUUCAGAAGCACGGUGGUUACCUCAUGUUGUGCUCCAUCCCCCAUGCAUUGCAGUGGUGCCCUGUGCUCAGAGAGUUUAAUCAUGUACCUGCUUCCCAUGGUGUGCUGCCGUGAAGCUUUCCCCAUUUCAGCUGUCCUGCUGACACCAGAGCGGGGAUGUGUGCGUGCUUCCCAACGAUGAUUUGCUAUCUGGAAAAGAAGUAAGUGUCAGCUUCUGUGAACACAUCCAUCAGCAGCCAUUCCCACUUGUGUUUACCGGCCACCAAGAACCCCAGACCCAGAAGCAGAAUGGGACCGAAAAGGGUUGGGAGGCAUCAGGCCGCCACCAGAGGAGCUGAAUGCUGGAGCGGCGGCAGUAAACACUUCUGGUCUCCUGGAUGAGAUACAGGAUUUACCGAACACGAAUGUUUAAAAUGUUUUCUGAUUUAGUAAGUGAAAGAUCUUUGAAACAAAAGAGAGACUUUCAGAAAUUUAAUACAAAUUGCCAGCAAUUUGCCUGAUGUUUAACAAAGGGAGCAGGUCAAUCCAGCAAGCACGAGGCAGGAAUAAAAAGCAUCAGCAUCUGCAAGGAGCGAUGCAGUGCAGCAAGGGGGAGCAGAAGAAGCAGGGAAAGGCUUUUUAUAAUGUUUUGUGGGGAUUUCUGGAUUGGCCGAGCCCUGUAUAAGCACCUUGUGCAUGGCCCUGUGUGUAACCUCCCUGCCUGGUUUCAAUCUGCCUUGCUGAACUUGAUUCUCACCUGCAUAUUCAGGUGCAAAGCAGGAUGGACAAUGGAUGUGCCAAAAUCAGAGUUGUCUGUAAAGUGCCAGGUCUGAGUGAUCAGGGCAACUUUUGCAGACAUCCAGACCCCGUGGGAGUGUAUGCACACAUAACAGACGCCCUUUGCCGUCUCUCUGUGGCUAACACCACGUCUCUUUUCCUUUUUCUGCCCCAGCAGCAGUGGGACAUGGCCCCCAUUUUUCUUUGUUAGUGCCACGUCACAUUUCACCAUUUGGGUAGAAGAAACAGUGGUGGGAUAUUUGUUCUCUGCAAAAUGCAAAGUGACAGGACAUCUUUCUUAACAAGCGAAUAACCAAGUUUAAAUAACCAUGCCAAAAUAUUCUUUUGAAAAAUGUCUGUCCCUAAUUCAGUUUGCCUGGUCAUUGUAAUUUAGUGCAGUGUCCUUCUGAGAAACUGAAUUAUUUGGGAGGCCACACAAGAUUGCAAAGGUAUAACUGCAUUUCUGCAGAUGUGGAAGUCUCUUACAAAUGAGACCUGGGAGGCUUUGUCAGGACCUGAGAGUCCAUCCUGAGACUUGUUUUGCCCCGGCUCGGUGACACCAGCUCCCCUGGGGCUCCAGCUGGGCAGCGUGUGUUCGAUAUGAGAGCAGCUCUCUUGGUGACGGAAUGGACGUGUCCCCCUGCAGUGAUUGCAGCCUGGCUGCUGCCACACGUGGGCACAGUGUGGGCACCCCAUGGUCAAGCUGCGCAUUGUUUUCAGGGCAAUGGCUCCAUUUGCUGGCUCUGCUUUUUCCUCCUCUUCCCCACUCUGCAAUUCAGGUCAGGUAUUUGCUUUUGAGAUCCCCAGUGCUCCUUUCUCCCUCCGACACAGAGACACCACGCAAUGGGUUGGCAUCCCCAGUGCCUGUCCCGGUGCUGGUGAGUGCCAGGCUGGUGCUCAGCCCCGUAAAGCGAACAGCAAGCAUCACCCUGCUGGGAGGCAGAAAAAACUCAGGGCAGCUUUCAGGGAUGACAGAUUAAGUGAAACGGAAUUUAAAAAUCACAUGAACACCUCUCUGUAUGAUAAAGUACAAUGGCUGAAGUGUUUCCAGCAAGUCAUUUUCCACAGUUUCUGAGAUGGUUUCUGAAAGGACACCGCUCACUGCCCUCAUUAUGUCCAUUCCAGCCAAAAAUCAAGGCUGUGUACUCCACUGCACGAAUGUCAAGUGAAACAUUUAAAGACCCCUUAUACUCUGUGUGCGUUCCUCCUAUGUUCCCUGGUGGGAUUCCUGGGAGUGAAAUUAGAGGUUGUUAACAGUCACGUGUCCUACCAGUUCUUUUUUUUUUUUUUUUUGGUAAACUUUUAAAAAAACCCGUAGAGUUCAUUCUUCUGAGCUCUCAUUCCUUACCAGAAAUUCUUGAGAUAAAGGGAAAACCAUCCAAGCCAUUACCUUUAUCUUCUGUGGAGCUUAAGGAUGUUGUUCUUUUUGUAUGACAGGGCGAUGAGAAGGCGUACGGAGAGAAAGACAGAAGCACAGUGAAGGUACCUGGUUACUUACAUUUGCUUUGGUGUUGGCCUGUUCCUCAGGGAUGGACAGAUUGCUUUGAGGCUGAAGAAAAAACAACAAAAGUCGCAGACAUUAAGACACCAGGAGGCAAUUCUUCGAGAAUUCAACACCAGGAUUUAGGAAGGAAAGGGCCUUUGGUGUAAGGAUUGAUUUCAAAUCACAAUUGUCGGAAAAGGAGAAAGCUUCAGGGGGUUCAGCAGUACGUUAUGCAGAAGAUGUUAGGUCUAAGUUUCUUAAUUUUGGUGACAAAUUUUCUUAUGCAAUGUUAAUUUAAAAUAACAGCAGCAACAAUAAACAAGCAAAAAACCAAACCAUUUUUACAGCAGCAGGAAUCGUAAGAAAGAAAAACCUGAGCUGUGGAGCCAGCAGUGCCCAGGAUAACCAUGUGUGAGGAACAAGCCUCGUGUGGAAUCCUAAGCAGAGAACUCCUGGGGAGGGGCAAGAAAAGUACCAUGAAGUAAAAAUCCUUUAGGCAAAAUAGAUAAUUGCACCGCGAUGGAUAUGUGAUUCUUUUUCUUAUGUAUCUAGGCAACUAUUUGCUUUAGAAGUAAUGACUGUUAUAAAUCACAGAAUGAAGUUUCUAACCCCAACACAUGCCUGGAACAGAGCUGUUGAUACUAUCCAGCUAAUAAAACAUAUUUCUUGAAGCAACAUCAAGUUACCUAUCAUUGUGUCGCUCACCUUUGUGACAAUGAUUACAGCUUAUGCAGGGCAUAAUUUAGGACACCUUUAGAACAGCUCUAGUCUUGUGUCUGGAAACAGCAAAAAGCCGAAGGAGCUGCGAACAUAUGACAUCUUACAAACAAAUGGUGUCACCUAACUCAUGAAUUUCUGAAUGUCACAUGAAGAUGGGCGAUAUGACAGUCUGAGCCAGUGCCUCUCCCUGCCAUGGCUUUGGCUGAGGCUGUUAUUUUGGGGGUCAGUGGGUGAGGGCCCCAGGGCCACUGCCUGGUCCGUGUGGAUAGAGAGAGGGACACAGUUAUGUGAAACCUGAAAAUAAAGGUUCUGGGGAAAAAAAACAACAAAACAAAACAAACAA